UAAUACGCGGCACUAUUAUUGAUUUAUUUCUGUCUCUCUCUCUUCCAUCUAUAAAUUCCAUUGUAAUAACAAACUUCCUACCCCCACUCUCAGUCUACACAUUUCUGCUAUUCUCUUUUCCAAUUCCUCCCAUCAUUACAUUUACAUAUAGAAGUAUUUUUGUUGGAUAUUAUUAAAAAUGGGAACAGCUACUUUCGUCGAUAUUAUUGUAGCCAUUCUUCUUCCCCCACUCGGUGUUUUCCUCAAGUUUGGCUGCGGGAUUGAGUUCUGGAUUUGCUUGUUGUUGACGCUGUUUGGUUACCUUCCUGGAAUCAUUUAUGCUGUAUAUGUUCUCACCAAGUAGAGAUUUGGAUUCCCC